GUUGAACGCUGGCGGCAGGCCUAACACAUGCAAGUCGAGCGAGCGGCGGACGGGUGAGUAAUGUCUGGGAAACUGCCUGAUGGAGGGGGAUAACUACUGGAAACGGUAGCUAAUACCGCAUACCAUCAGAUGUGCCCAUAUGGGAUUAGCUAGUAGGUGGGGUAAUGGCUCACCUAGGCGACGAUCCCUAGCUGGUCUGAGAGGAUGAUCAGCCACACUGGGACUGAGACACGGACCAGACUCCUACGUGAGGCAGCAGUAGGGAAUAUUGCACAAUGGGCGCAAGCCUGAUGCAGCCAUGCCGCGUGUGUGAAGAAGGCCUUCGGGUUGUAAAGCACUUUCAGCGAGGAGGCGUUACUCGCAGAAGAAGCACCGGCUAACUCCGUGCCAGCAGCCGCGGUAAUUC
rnacentral:rRNA from 1 species